ensembl:lncRNA
GUGAGAGUAAACUGGCAGAGGGAGGGGGAGAACAGAACAAUGGGGAAAAACCCAUUAGGCAAUUAAUCUCUCUUAAUAAGAACAUUAACAUUCUCCAAGCGAGAGCAGAGGCAGUUUGGAACUAGUCAAUUUUCUCUUUUCCAUCUCUUGGUGGAUAAUUGGGAAUACUGAGUUGGGGCAGGAUUACGGUUCCCCAGGUAACUGCUAUGGAAGCAGAAGGGAACAGAUUUCUCUUCACCACACCUCCAGGGGAACAAAUGGCGUGAACGAAAGCAAGAGAAAGACUUGGAUCACGGACAUAAGAUAUAUUGAGGCAACCCUUUAAUGGAACGGAGGGUGCCGUCCUAGGUGAUCUCUGAAGAGCUCGUUUCUUUGGAGGGCUUUUUCAAGUUUCCUUUCAAAGCACACCUCACACCAGGAAUGUGAGGGAAAUGGAUGAAGAACACUAUAGACCAAUUUCAGAUCAUGAGGGGGAAAAAAUACUGUAUGGUUGACUGAAGAGAUGGCAAGGUUACGGGACCAGACAUCUGUUAUUUUUUUCUAAAGAGACCAAUAACACUCAAGGUUUAUAUGCUUGAUUACAAACAGGCACAAGCGGCAUGAAAAUAGAGCUGUUACUCUUUAAAAUUCAGAGCAGGAGAUGCCCAUAAAAAAAAAUUUGACACGGGAUCAGAGGACAACCUCAAUAUCAAGGAUUGGUUAUUAAAAAAUUCCCAGAAAACCUGGCAUCUACUUAUUUGUUAAAAUGCCCAAAUUACACAUGCUCAGAUAAAGAGAGAAGCUUGACCCCGCUACACGCUCCAUUUACCCAAAACAAGCUACUUAUUAACUACCCAUACUGGAUCUGUUUGCUUAGUGAAUAUAAAUAAAUAGAUGCGGGUUGGAAAAAAAAGACGACAAAUUGAGUCUUUUUUUAUUACACAGGUAACUGGUAUUUAAUAGGCAAAUAUGUAGUUAGUAACUGGUAUUUAAUAGGUAAGAGUGUAGUUAGUAACUGGUAUUUAAUAGGUAAGAGUGUAGUUAGUAACUGGUAUUUAAUAGGUAAGCGUGUAGUUAGUAACUGGUAUUUAAUAGGUAAGUGUGUAGUUAGUAACUGGUAUUUAAUAGUUAAGAGUGUAGUUAGUAACUGGUAUUUAAUAGUUAAGAGUGUAGUUAGUAACUGGUAUUUAAUAGGUAAGAGUGUAGUUAGUAACUGGUAUUUAAUAGGUAAGAGUGUAGUUAGUAACUGGUAUUUAAUAGGUAAGCGUGUAGUUAGUAACUGGUAUUUAAUAGGUAAGAGUGUAGUUAGUAACUGGUAUUUAAUAGGUAAGAGUGUAGUUAGUAACUGGUAUUUAAUAGGCAAGAGUGUAGUUAGUAACUGGUAUUUAAUAGGCAAAUAUGUAGUUAGUAACUGGUAUUUAAUAGGUAAGAGUGUAGUUAGUAACUGGUAUUUAAUAGGCAAAUAUGUAGUUAGUAACUGGUAUUUGGUAUAGUAACUGGUAACUGGUAUAAGUCUAAGCUUAAAACGUAUUUGUUUACUCAAGCCUACCCUGACUAGAUUCUGUUCUACUUUCUCCCUCUCUCCUUUCGCCGAGCCCCACACGAAUUUAUGGAGAUACUAGAGAUCCAGAUCCUUUCUGCCUCUGGAUGGAGCUCAAAUCUUCUUUAAUUCCAGACUGCUGGGACUACGGCUGCUCUUAACGCCAUACAGACUUCAUAUAAAUCCAUAAUGAACUUUUUCACAAUAUCUGUUGUUACCCAGAUGAGGACGGGUUCCCUUCUGAGUCGGGUUCCUCUCAAGGUUUCUUCCUCUUAAAACAUCUUAGGGAGUUUUUCCUUGCCACUGUCGCCACUCAGUGGCUUGCUCAGCUGGGAUAAAUUCACACCUUUAAUAUCUGUAUACCAUGUUGAUAUUUCUGUAAAGCUGCUUUGAGACAAUGUCUAUUGUAAAAAGCGCUAUACAAAUAAAAUUGAAUUGAACUGAAUUGAAUUUAAUAGGUAAGCGUGUAGUUAGUAACUGGUAUUUAAUAGGUAAGCGUGUAGUUAGUAACUGGUAUUUAAUAGGCAAAUAUGUAGUUAGUAACUGGUAUUUAAUAGGUAAGCGUGUAGUUAGUAACUGGUAUUUAAUAGGUAAGAGUGUAGUUAGUAACUGGUAUUUAAUAGGUGAGUGUAGUUAGUAACUGGUAUUUAAUAGGUAAGAGUGUAGUUAGUAACUGGUAUUUAAUAGGUAAGAGUGUAGUUAGUAACUGGUAUUUAAUAGGUAAGAGUGUAGUUAGUAACUGGUAUUUAAUAGGUAAGAGUGUAGUUAGUAACUGGUAUUUAAUAGGUAAGAGUGUAGUUAGUAACUGGUAUUUAAUAGGUAAGACUGCAGUUAGUAAAUGGUAUUUAACAGGUAAGUACU